UACAGAGGGGGCAAGCGUUAUUCGGAAUUAUUGGGCGUAAAGGGCGCGUAGGCGGCAAUUCAAGUCAGCUGUGAAAUCUCCGGGCUUAACUCGGAACGGUCAGCUGAUACUGCUUUGCUAGAGUGCAGAAGGGGCAAUCGGAAUUCUUGGUGUAGCGGUGAAAUGCGUAGAUAUCAAGAGGAACACCUGAGGUGAAGACGGGUUGCUGGGCUGACACUGACGCUGAGGCGCGAAAGCUAGGGUAGCAAACGGG
rnacentral:rRNA from 1 species